UAAUUAUACUAUAUUGUACAUAUAAUUAUAUAAUUAAUUAUUACGAUAUAAUAUUAAUUUAUUUCAAUUGAUUUAUGUUAUUGAAUAAAACUCAUUUAUCGAAAUGGAACAUAAAUUAGUAACUAAAAAAAAGAUCGAUUCAUUUUUUUUUUUAUUUACUAAAAGGGGAAAUAAAGAUUUUCUUUGUGCCAAAAGCGCAUAGUAAAUUUCAGCAAGUUUACCAAGAAACGAUGACGAUGACGAUAGAUAGUCGAACGAGUCUCUCUCUUUUUCUCGUUUAUUUUCUUUUUCUAAGCCAAAUAAGAAGAAAAAUAGAGAGAUAAGAGUUACGGAUCUAUCUCGGUUCUUCAAGGUUUUCCUUCGGUCUAGAGUCGCAGAAUCCGACGUUCGACAAACGUCACGUUUUCUCGAUAGUUUGUUCUUCGUUUCUUGUCCUUCUCAAAGGAGAAGAAGAAAAGAGCAUAAACGUAUACGAUAAUGACCAUGGCUUAUCUGCUUUAUAUUAUGAAUGAAUCUUUCUUAGAACUAUAUCUAUCUCUCUUUAUCUCUUUCUUUCUUUCGGUUUAAAGAUCGAAUGGAAUUGACGAAGUUCUCUUUUUUUCUUUUGACAUCUUAUUUAUCCGUUUAUAGAUUUUAACUAACGAUCAAGAUGAAAAAAACGACAAAUAUAUGUACAUAAAUGACAAAAUAUUCAAAGUUCGAUUAAUCUUCAAGAAAUGUUAUUGAAUCUCUCUCUCUCUCUCUCUCUCUUUCUCGAUUUAAAGAUUGAAAAAAAUCAUUGAACGAUGUUAAGCAACAUGAAAAUGAAAACAAUAAACGAACUAAAUAUAUAAAUGACAAAAUAUUAAGUGUGCUAAAAAUCUAUCUUCGAUAAAUUUCAUUGAAUUUCUCUCUUUUUCUUUCUCUUUUUUCAUCUUCUCAUUAUUUUCUUUUUUUUCGUUGUUUCCUUUUUUUUUUUUUUUUUUUUUUUUUUUUUUUUUUUUUUUUUUUUUUUUAUAAAAGGACAUCUUAAGUCUUUCAUUUUUCAGGCCGAGGUCAACGGGACGUAUCCUUCGUUCAUGUUAAUAAAUUAUUCGUGGGCGAGAUCGAAACAAAACGAAAGAAAACGAUAAGAAAUGAAAUGAAAAAAGAGAAAAAGAUAAAGAACAAAAAAGAACAAAAACAAGACAUGCUAUUUUACUUUCACGUUUGAAAGUUCAAAGUUCAAGGAAAACAAUUAGAAUUUAUGAUAGACAAAAUUUGCAAGAAAAAUGAAAUGAAGAUGUUAUAUCGUUUCAAUCGGUAGAAAUAUUUGUGGAGUCUGAGAAAGGCCUUGAAAAUUUUACCUGAACAUUCUUUCUUUCUUCUCAAAGCAGCAACAGGUCAAAAGCAAACUACUACUACUACUAUUACUACUACUACUAUUACUACUACUACUAUUACUACUACUACUACUGCUAUACCUUCUAUAAGAAUGAAUAAGGAUAUCCACAAUAAAACGAAAAUAGUUUGCACGAGAGUCCUUCAAAUUGUAGUAGGUAACGUAUGAGCGCUUCUCGGGCUCGUUAAAAUUUCUUUUAGUAGUAGUAACAGUAACGAUACAACAACACAACCGGACCAAACUAGAUUGACUUAUCACGGUUGAUUAUCGCUCAUGAUUUUACGCCUUCCCUUAAAAGGACCAUACCUCUUCCUAUAGAGAUCGUUUCGUGUCUCUUGCUUUUCCGAGGCAUGACAUGACAUAAAAAAAGGAUCACCCCUCUUCGUAAUACUUCGAUAGAGUCGUCAGAUCGAUCCAAGCUAAAGUUUCUAAAGCUUCAACGAUCCCUCUCGAUAGAAAUCGAUCGAUGAAAUCUAAUAUACGGAAAGUAUUUCUAUAGUAUAUACAUGAUAAACAUCAUUGUAAAAAUAUCUUUUCUUCUUUUCUUGUUUAGUUUUUUUUUCUUUUUUUUUCGAAAAAUUUAUAUAAAAAGAUCAUAAUGAUAUCAUCGAUCAUUAAAACGAUUGUCGAUUGUGUUUCAUCUGUUACCGUGAAUGUUAUUAUUACCGCAUCGAUCGAUUUCAUGGAAAAAAAAAAAGGAAAACAAAAUGUUCACCUUCGAUCGUCGUUGAAAGAUUAUGCGAAGAUUCUCAUAAAUUAUGAUUUCAUCGUAUAAAGCAAUUUGAAAAUUCGCGGUCUUUAAGUUCGACGGAAAAAAAAUGGCACACGAAUUGUAGCCAAUUGGAGAGAAACAAAAAACAAGAAAAGAGUAACGCAAAUAAAAAAUUGUACAUACUAAGGAAUAUUUUUCACUUUCGAAUGUUUUUUUCUCGAGAAAUCACAAAGAUACAAUUCCUAUAUUAACAAUUACUAUUUUCGGACGGCGUGUCUUGAUGAUAACCUAACUUCGUUACGUAAUACAUACUGCAUGUUUAUGUAUUAAUAAUUCCUUGCGUAAGACGCUUAUGAAGCGCUACGCGUCGGCCUUUGACGAUAAACAAGAAAUACCUGUUGCAUUACCUAUUCAUUCGCAAUAUCAGUUAUAAUACUUUCUGUCUAUCGUCUAUCCUUUAUCGUCGAACUUCCGAUUAUCAGGAGAAAAUGUAUGUUUUGGGAAAGUCGAAAGGAUAAACAAAAGAAAAAAAUAAAAAAGAAAGAAAAAAGGAUAAAAUUCGAGAAUGUUAUAUCGCCUCAUCGCGAAGAAUUUUGUUGUUAGAGUGUUUCGUGUCAUCAAAUAAGCAAAUGAAUUCAAGUGCAAGGAGUUAAAGACGAGAGCUAGGCGGCCGCGUUCGCUUAACGAUAUCCGUUGUCGUGUUACACGUCGUUAAACUAGUUCGGUGCGUCCAGUUUUUCCACUCUCUUGCUCGCCUCGUCCGCCCAACGUUCGUCCCUGAACGACGAAAGAGACAACGAAGACGAAGAGAACGAGAGGAUGAUAACGGAGGCGGUAUGUUCGUCGUUCCUUUGGAGAGAGAAAAAGAGAAAGAGAGAGAGAAAGAGAGGGGGAAGGAGAGAGAGAGAGAGAGAGAGAGAGAGAGAGAGAGAGAGAGACAGACAGACAGAGAGAGACAAGAAUGAGUGAAUUGUAAGUGCGGCCCUGCAUCGAUGCCGAUAACGACGCAACUUGUUGCCUCUAUACUGAUUAACUCUACCGGGAUCAAAUCACCAAAUAUAUUUUUUACUUUUCGAUAUACUCCGAGAAUCGUUCCAACUAUGGAGAUUUUUGUUUAGAUCGAACAAAAUUUUACCUUCGAUACGAAAAGAGAUAUUCUCAUAUGCGACUUACCAUGAUGGCUGUCUAUACGGAAAGAAAAUGGGGAUCUGACGAUUGCCGUACCGUUUGGCUACAGUGCUGCCACAAAGUGCUACUACUUCAAUCAAUAUUACAUUUA